rnacentral:tRNA from 1 species
UGUGAACUAGCUCAAGGGUAGAGCGCGGGCCUCAUAAGCCCGAGGUUGGAGGUUCGAGUCCUUCGUUCACAGCCA